AGUAUGUGUGUCCUUAGAUGACAAAGUGAAGCUCCAUCCAGUCAGUUGACCAGCUCGACUGCUCUAUGUUCCCGGUGCUAUUUUUAAAGUUUCUCUAAACUCAUUCAUGUGUGUUUUUAGGUGAAUGAUUUCAUUCUUAUAUCAGUGCAUACAGUAGGGAGCAGAUUCUUUCGAUGGAGAAGGGAAUUCUGAAUAGGCUGGAGUGGGACUUAACUGUUCCUAUAGUAUACAUGUUCUUUGUUCAUUUUCUGAAGGUAGCAACCUUGGGCAACAAAGUUGAGAAAGAGAUGGAGGACAUGGCCUUCUUCUUUGCUGAAUUGGCGCUGAUGCAAUACGGAUACGGCUUGGUGACACGUCUGCCUUCUCUGGUUGCUGCUUCUGCUGUCUACGCGGUCAGGCUCACUGUCAAGAGAGCUCCCUCUGGACCGACGCCCUCAAGCACCACACUGUUGUGUACCAGGUGCUCGGAGGAGCGACCCGCGAAGGGCAGCGG